UACGGAGGGUGCAAGCGUUAAUCGGAAUUACUGGGCGUAAAGCGCACGCAGGUGGCUGAGUCAGUCGAUUGUGAAAGCCCUGGGCUUAACCUGGGAAUUGCAGUCGAUACUACUCAGCUAGAGUAUGGGAGAGGGUAGUGGAAUUCCCGGUGUAGCGGUGAAAUGCGUAGAUAUCGGGAGGAAUACCAGUGGCGAAGGCGGCUUUCUGGGCCUACCCUGACGCUGAGGAGCGAAAGCGUGGGGAGCAAACCGG
rnacentral:rRNA from 1 species